GCUAUUCCCUCCUUCCUUUGUUUUUCACUCUUGUUCUCCCGCUCUCCAUUUUCCUCUCUCUCUAUUGUCAUCGCCGAUGCUCUAGUCUCUAGUCACCACCUUCGUCUCCAACGUCCGGCCAACCUCUAAAUCUACUCUGUUAUUACCACUGUCUCCUUGCGCCACCAACAUUGUCCGCAUUCACCAUGUCACCUGCAGGCUUAGCAUGAGAGGAGUAUGCUCGGCCGGCUAUGCAUGGAUUUGGGAAUUUUUGUGCUUACAGGCUACUCUGUUAUUGCCAGUGGUUCCUUGCGCCACCACCAUCGUCCGCAUUCACGAAGUCACCAGUGGGCUUAGAAUGAGAGGCGUAUGCUCGGGCUAUACAUGGAUUUGGGGAUUUUUGUGCUUACAGUUCGAUCUGAAAUCAUCAGCAGCAAAGGAAGACCAUAUGGUGAUUUUGAAAUCAUCAAGAGCAUGCCUGAUGAACAUUAAUACAGUCAUUCCUUGCAUAUCCAAUGAUUUGCAUUUUUAUCUUCAGGUAUACAAGGAAGCAUGAUGCAACACCAACUUGCUGGCUUUAGUUGGCUUAGUCAUCUCUACGCUUCUUGGCUAUAUUUAUUCACCUCACUUGGACUCACCUCCUCCACGAUGGGUUCAUCAUGUUGCACACGGAUUGCAUCAGAAUUAAUUCAAGCUUUGUAAUUGUUCAUAGAGAAGACUGAAUGAAUAAGCUUUUUAUUUUGCGUA